GGAAAAAAAAAGAAAAAAAAAUUGAGAAAAAAAAAACAAAAAAAAAAGAAGAAAAAAAAAGAUGAGAAAAAAAGCAAAAAAAAAAAGAAAGAAGGAAAAUAAAGUUGUAGGUCAAAAUGACCAAAAUAUUAAUAUGUGUUUAGUGUGUAUCCGGUUUUUCGUGUGCUUACGUGUUUAGCCAUAUAGUCCCAAAAUAAAAAAAUAAAAAAAAUUAACCUACCUUUAGCCCUUGCCUGCCCAAUAAAGCCCUCUUGAUCCGUGUUAAAUCUUAACAAAUAGGUGGAAAUUUGAUUGACGUACAAGCUUAUGAUAGUAUGCUUCAUAGUUUGGUUUUGAGAGUUCACUCAAAAUUACAUAUUUAUCAGCCGAGAGAUGAGUGAUAUUGUGAGGGGUAUUGAGAGUGCACGAUUGGUUGCUUGAAGGUAAGAAAAGCUUGAUUAGGUAGGCCUGUUUUCAGUUAAAUGUUAUGAUUCGUCAACCUUAUGAACGAUGUAAGUCUUGUGAAACUGUUGUGUUUGAUGAUUUCGUAGUUCGCAUUUUAACUUGUUCGAGAUUUGCGUUUUUGUUAAAGUGUUUGAGUUAGACAUGCUGUUUGGGAUUUUGCUUAGGGACAAGCAAAAGUUUAAGUGUGGGGAUAUUUGAUGUGUGGUUCUGGUGCAAAUGGAGAAAAAAUGAGUAAAAAGGAGAUAACCAGCUAGUUGAGCAGGAUGGAACGCUAGAGACUAAAUUAAAAUUGCAGCUAUUUCCCUUGAUUGGGCUGAUGACACUUUAUCUCUAAAAAGGCUGCUGAGUUCCAUAUUAUUAUUACUUUGGACGCUAUUUUCUUAAAAGGAAACACACGAAGAUUAUAACAUUCUGGACAAAAUUUAUGAGCAUCUAUGCAAAGGUAUUAAAGCCCAUGCAAAACGUGAAUGGGUGGACUUUUGGGCCUUGUUGACAUAUUUAUAUGAUUAUAUUAAAACUCUAAUGGA
rnacentral:lncRNA from 1 species